rnacentral:rRNA from 1 species
GACGAACGCUGGCGGCGUGCUUAACACAUGCAAGUCGAACGGAAAGGCCCUGCUUUUGUGGGGUGCUCGAGUGGCGAACGGGUGAGUAACACGUGAGUAACCUGCCCUUGACUUUGGGAUAACUUCAGGAAACUGGGGCUAAUACCGGAUAGGAGCUCCUGCUGCAUGGUGGGGGUGGGAAAGUUUCGGCGGUUGGGGAUGGACUCGCGGCUUAUCAGCUUGUUGGUGGGGUAGUGGCUUACCAAGGCUUUGACGGGUAGCCGGCCUGAGAGGGUGAACGGCCACAUUGGGACUGAGAUACGGCCCAGACUCCUACGGGAGGCAGCAGUGGGGAAUAUUGCACAAUGGGCGGAAGCCUGAUGCAGCAACGCCGCGUGCGGGAUGACGGCCUUCGGGUUGUAAACCGCUUUCGCCUGUGACGAAGCGUGAGUGACGGUAAUGGGUAAAGAAGCACCGGCUAACUACGUG